rnacentral:rRNA from 1 species
UACGUAGGGGCCGAGCGUUACCCGGAUUUACUGGGCGUAAAGUGCGCGUAGGCGGGGCUCUAAGUCGGGCGUGAAAGCCCCGGGCUCAACUCGGGGAGGCCGCUCGAUACUGGAGCCCUUGAGGGCGGGAGAGGGUGGUGGAAUUCCCGGUGUAGCGGUGAAAUGCGUAGAGAUCUGGAGGAAUACCGGUGGCGAAGGCGGCAUCCUGGACCAAGACUGACGCUGAGGCGCGAAAGCGUGGGGAUCAAACAGGAUUAGAAACCCCAGUAGU